GAUAAAUUUUGAGCAAAAUAAUCUUAUUGAUAGCGUUGAAAAACUAAAACAAAAAUAUAUAUCCCCUUUUUGAAGUAAAAUUGUUGCUCUCUACAACAUUAAUCGACGUCAUAAACAUCUCUGCUGACAACGUUAAUGUCGAAGUAUAGUCGAUUGCUGCAGACGGAUAAAUGUUUGGAAGUCUAAAGAAUUGACCCCGUGCAGCUUUUUUGGAAGAAAAAAGGAAUCGUAAGAAAAAUGUGGUAAGUGUUUUGCUUUUU
rnacentral:lncRNA from 1 species